UGGGGAAUAUUGGACAAUGGGCGAAAGCCUGAUCCAGCCAUGCCGCGUGUGUGAAGAAGGUCUUCGGAUUGUAAAGCACUUUAAGUUGGGAGGAAGGGCAGUAAGCGAAUACCUUGCUGUUUUGACGUUACCGACAGAAUAAGCACCGGCUAACUCUGUGCCAGCAGCCGCGGUAAUACAGAGGGUGCAAGCGUUAAUCGGAAUUACUGGGCGUAAAGCGCGCGUAGGAGGUUCGUUAAGUUGAAUGUGAAAGCCCCGGGCUCAACCUGGGAACUGCAUCCAAAACUGGCGAGCUAGAGUAGGGCAGAGGGUGGUGGAAUUUCCUGUGUAGCGGUGAAAUGCGUAGAUAUAGGAAGGAACACCAGUGGCGAAGGCGACCACCUGGGCUCAUACUGACACUGAGGUGCGAAAGCGUGGGGAGCAAACAGG
rnacentral:rRNA from 1 species